rnacentral:misc_RNA from 1 species
GAAAGACAUAGCGGCACUUGGAGAACUUCACUUCAACGAGGUAGAGACAUUCAUGUCAGAAUGGAGCAGCAGUAAAGUUUUCAGAGAUGAUUAUGAGAGGAGGAUACUGUCAUCACUCGACAGUAGACAGCUGAGCAGGGAUGGACGAAUGAGGAAUCCCGAUGAAAAGCCGAUUGUCGCUCCACAGCCAGUCAUUGAACAGACGACUGUACCAACAAAAGCAACUCCAAAGCAAACAAAGGAAGAGGCCCUCCCCCCUCCUGUCUCUGCUCCCAAGAUUCAAGAAGAGAUUGGUAAAUCUACUGAAGUAGCUCCGAGAGCAAAACCUGGUCGCUCAGAUGACACCGGAGAAACUUAUGAGAUUGGAAAGUCCAAAGAGCUGUCAAAACCAGAUGCUGCAAAGUUGAAGGAAAUGAAAAGAGAGGAGGAAAUUGCUAAAGCGAAAUUAGCACUUGAACGUAAGAAGAAGUUGGCUGAGAAAGCAUCAGCAAAAGCAGCAGCAAAAGCUCAGAAGGAUGCUGAGAAGAAGAUAAAGGAAAAA